rnacentral:rRNA from 1 species
GCAUAUCAAUAAGCGGAGGAAAAGAAACCAACAGGGAUUGCCUUAGUAACGGCGAGUGAAGCGGCAACAGCUCAAAUUUGAAAUCUGGCCCUCGGGUCCGAAUUGUAAUUUGUAGAGGAUGAUUUUGGUGCGGUAUCUUCCGAGUUCCUUGGAACAGGACGCCUUAGAGGGUGAGAGCCCCGUACGGUUGAAUGCCUAGCCUCUGUAAAUCUCCUUCGACGAGUCGAGUAGUUUGGGAAUGCUGCUCUAAAUGGGAGGUAAAUUUCUUCUAAAGCUAAAUAUUGGCCAGAGACCGAUAGCGCACAAGUAGAGUGAUCGAAAGAUGAAAAGCACUUUGAAAAGAGGGUUAAAUAGCACGUGAAAUUGUUGAAAGGGAAGGAUUUGUGACCAGACUUUUUCUGGGCGGAUCAUCCGGGGUUCUCUCCGGUGCACUUUGCCCAGUAAAGGCCAGCAUCGAUUUUCGGCGGCGGAUAAAAGCAGUGGGAAUGUGGCUCCCUACGGGGAGUGUUAUAGCCCAUUGUAUAAUACGCUGCUGGGGAUCGAGGUACGCGCUUCUGCAAGGAUGCUGGCGUAAUGGUUAUCAAUCACCCGUCUUGAAACACGGACCAAGGAGUCGAACAUUUAUGCGAGUGUUUGGGUGUUAAACCCUCACGCGUAAUGAAAGUGAACGGAGGUGAGAGCCCGUACGGGUGCAUCAUCGACCGAUCCUGAAGUUUUCGGAUGGAUUUGAGUAAGAGCAUAACUGUUCGGACCCGAAAGAUGGUGAACUAUGCGUGGAUAGGGUGAAGCCAGAGGAAACUCUGGUGGAGGCUCGCAGCGGUUCUGACGUGCAAAUCGAUCGUCAAAUCUGCGCAUGGGGGGCGAAAGACUAAUCGAACCAUCUAGUAGCUGGUUACCGCCGA